CCCACCCCAAGUAAAGCAAGAUUAUCCUCUAAGUUUAAGCAUACCAAUAAAUAAAAAAAAUGAAACUUACCAGGAUUCCCCUAGUACCAGUGAUCGAACUAGGAAUAACAUAGCUUGAGAAUUAAGCACCCUAGCAUCCAAAUUAUAGUUUGGAGAAACAUCCUUAGUAACGGACUGGACACAAGUCCCUUGGAAUGGGGUGGUGGAAAAGGUGAAAGCCCCAAAGUGCCUAGACCUUAUCACACCAUAAAGCGUUGUUUGUGACUCGGGUUGUUUAGGAAUGUAGCCCCAAUCAGUGGUAAAUUCCAUUUGAGGCUGAAUAUGGGUGAGAGACUAAUGCGAACAAGUAUCGUGAGGGAAAGAUGAAAAGGACUUUGGAAAGAAAGUCAAAGAGUGCUUGAAAUUGUUAGGAAGGAAGCGAAUGAGGGCCAGUGAUGCAUGCCAAUUGGAUGUGGAAUGGUAAGAGCUAGUCCGUCAAUCGGUUUGAGGCAUGGACCGAUGUGGGUCAUGAUAGUGGCCCAAGCCUGAGCUUUCAAUAUGCUGAUGGAGAUGUCGUCUUUGUGAUUAUGGAAUGCAUCAUGUGCCAUCUCGGCAUGCCUCGACACUUGCAUGUUCCCAAUUUCUACCAAUAGGCUCCUUAUCUAGUCCAUCUUGAAACACAGACCAAGGAGUCUGACAUGUGUGUGAGUCAACGGGCUAGAAAACACCCAUAAGGUGCAAAGAAGUUAAUUGGUGGGAUCCCUAGAGGGUGCACCACCGAUUGACCUUGAUAUUCUAAGAAAGGUUCAAGUGUGAGCAUGCUUAUUGGGACCCGAAAGAUGGUGAAUAAUGCCUAAGCAAGGCAAAGCCAGAGGAAACUCUUAUGGAGGACCUUAGAGAUAUGCAAAUUAUUCAUUUGACUAGGGUAUAAGGGCAAAAGACUAAUCGAACUAUCUAGUAGUUUGUUUCUUCCAAAGUUUCCCUCAGGAUAACUGGACCACUUAGCAAGUUUUAUCGGGUAAAGCCAAUGAUUAGAGACAUCAAGGGCAUAAUGCGCUUGACCUAUUCUUAAACUUUAAAUAGGUAGGAUGGUACAAUUAAAUUAUUGAGCCAUGCCACAAAAUCAAAAGCUUCAAGUGGGCCAUUUUUAGUAUGCAAAAUUGGCAAUGCAGGAUGAACCAAAAACUUAUUUAUGGUGCCUAACUGCACGUUAACCUAAAACCCAUAAAGAGUGUUGGUUGAUUAAAAUAGCAGGAUGAUGGUCAUGGAAGUCAAAAUCUUCUAAGAACUAUGUAACAAUUCAUCUACCAAACAACUAGCCCCAAAAUGGAUGGUGCUUAAGCUCAUGACCUAUUUCCAGCCAUCAUGGCAAGGUUAGGCCCCGAUGUGUAGGGGCACGAUGAUCGUAGCAAAAUUGAGGCAUGAGCUUGGGCGGAGUGACUGUCAGUGCACAUCUUGGUGGUAGUAGCAAAUAUUUAAAUGAGAACUUUGAAGGUCGAAAGGGGAAAGGUUUUAUGUGAACGACACUUGCACAAGGGUUAAUCAAUCUUAAAAGAUGGGGGAAGUUGAUCCGAUAAUGCAUCUAAUGUGAGCUUAAAAAGGGAAUUAGCUUAAAAUUCUUGAACUAGGACACGAUGGUUGAUGGCAAUGUUAGGGAGUCCAAAGACAUAGGCAGAGGCCUCAGGAAGAGUUAUCCUUUUUGUUUAACAUCAUGCCUACCCUAGAAACGGCUUAACCAAAGGAAAGGUCUAGCGACUGGAAAAGCAACACUUGUCACAUAGUGUUCGAUUCAUUCCUAGUGGCCUUUGAAAAUCUGGAGGAUCAAGUGCCAUCCAUGCUUGGUCAUACUUAUAGUUGUAAUAGGUUUACAAGGUGAAUUGCCUCUAGUUGAUGGAAUAUGUAACCUUGGGAAAAGGAUUAGAUCUUAGGGCUAGGCAUGAGGGUUCUAGUCCCAAACCCAUCAACUGCUAGUGCACUACUCAAGCUGCUCUAGUGGUGAGAAUGGGUCAUCAUUUUCUAGCUGGGGGAUGAACUGGGAACAACUUUAUAAUGCCCUAAUCCCACAUUGGAAGAAUAUAUGGAUAUGAUAUGAUAUAUAUGUAAAGAUCUAAACCCAAACUUGUGAGGCACCUUUUAUGGGAUAGAACAGUGAGUCUUUCAGGUCAAAGUAGACAAUACCUUAUAAGUUAGGUGUAGGUCUCUAUAAAUGGUAUUAGAGAGGUCAUCAGUCAGUGAUAAUUAAGUGCUACAUCAUAGGUGUUGCUAAGUGCUACAUGAUAGGGAGCCACCUCUAGAAGUUCAAUGUCUGGUGUGAUCUUGGUCCUAUGAUUAGACUUUGCUUGAUAGGGACAUCAAGCUUUAAAGGCUUGUAGGGUAGAUGUGGGUCUCCAUAGGUUUCUUAGGGGGCUUUCCUCAGAUAAUGAAUAGUUAACUCAUAACUAGUAUGGAUAGGGGGAAUUGACUAUUUAAUUAAGACAAUGCAUUGUGAUGGUUCUUACAAAUGCCCAUGCAAUGUGAUUUUUGUGCAGUGAUCUAAAUGUCAAAGUGAAGAAAUUCAACAAAGCACAGGUAAAUAGCGAGAGUAACUAUGACUCUUUUAAGGUAGCCAAAUGCCUUGUCAUCUAAUUAGUGACGCGUAUGAAUGGAUUAAUGAGAUUCCCAUUAUAAUUGUCUACUAUCUAGUGAAACCACAACCAAGGGAACAAGCUUGGCAGAAUCAAUAGGGAAAGAAAACCCUAUUAAGCUUGACUUUAGUCUAACUUUCUUAAAUGACUUGAGAGCUAUAGGAUAAGUGCGAGCCCUUGGGCAAAAUUGAAAUAUCACUACUUUUAACAUUGUUUUACUUAUUCCAUGAAUAAGAGGCAAGGCGUGAUCCUUUCUUUUGGACCCAAGGCUAGCCUUAGCUAGUUGAUCCAAGUGGAAGACAUUGUUAGGUGGGGAGUUUGGCUAGGGUGGCACAUCUAUUAAAAGAUAAUACAUGUGCCCUAAGAUGAGCUUAACGAGAAUAGAAAUCUCAGGUGGAGCAAAUGGGUAAAAGCUCAUUUGUUUUUAAUUUCCAAUACAAAUAUAAACCAUGAAAGCAUGGCCUAUCAAUCCUUUAAACCUUCAGAAUUUGAAGCUAAAGGUGUCAAAAAAGUUAUUGCAGGGAUAACUAGCUUGUAGCAACCAAGCAUUCCUAGCGACGUUACUUUUUCAUCCUUCGAUGUUAGUUCUUCCUAUCAUUGUCAAGCAAAAUUCACCAAGUGUUGGAUUGUUCACCCACUAAUAGGGAAUGUGAGCUAGGUUUAGACUAUCAUGAAAUAGGUUAGUUUUACCCUAUUGAUGUUAGGUCACAAUAGUAAUCAACCUAAUAUGAGAGGAACCAUUGAUUUGCACAAUUGGUCAUUGUGCUUAAUUGAAAAGCCAUGGCACAAAGCUGCCAUACAUUGGAUCAUGAUUGAAUACCUCUAAGUCAAAAUCUAGGCUAGAAGUGAUGCACAUGCCUAUUUCCCAAUUGCUGACCCACAGUAAGGGUCCAUGGCCCAUAAGGGCACAUGUCAUAGGUACAAUCCCCAAGAAAAAAAAGUAGUGUAAGCCUCAUUCGAGCUUAAUUCCCAUCAAUUGGUGGGUAGAAUCUUUUGUAGAUGACUUAAAUAUGCAAUGGGGUAUUUUAAGUGGCAAAGUGGCCUUGCUGUCAUGAUCCACUAAGAUCAG
rnacentral:rRNA from 1 species